UACGUAGGGGGCGAGCGUUGUUCGGAUUUACUGGGCGUAAAGGGCGCGUAGGCGGCUCAUUUUGUCAGGCGUGAAAGCCCCGGGCUUAACCUGGGAACUGCGUUUGAUACGGAUGGGCUAGAGUUCGGGAGAGGAGAGUGGAAUUCCCAGUGUAGAGGUGAAAUUCGUAGAUAUUGGGAAGAACACCGGUGGCGAAGGCGGCUCUCUGGACCGAUACUGACGCUGAGGCGCGAAAGCGUGGGGAGCAAACAGG
rnacentral:rRNA from 1 species